GACUACUGGUGCAGUGGUUUGAACAUUGGACUACGGCUCUGGAGAACAGGGUUCAAAUCCCAGCUUGGCCA